UCAAUGGCCUAAAGGCUGAACCAGUAACUUGGAAGAAUGUAAAUGUAUUAAUUAUUAAUACAAUAACGAUUAAUUCGUAUAAAAUUCUAAAUAGAAUAAUGAUAAUGACAAUUUUCUAUUUAUAAGUCUUGACCAAAUUACGUGCCAGCAGUCGCGGUAAUACGUAAAAGACUAGUGUUAGUCAUCUUUAUUAGGUUUAAAGGGUACCUAGACGGUAAAUUAAACUCUUAUUGAGUAUCUUUUUACUAGAGUUUUAUAAGAGAAGGAAGAAUUUUUGGAGUAGUGAUAAAAUACUUUUAUACCAAAAAGACUGAUAACGGCGAAGGCAUCCUUCUAUGUAAAAACUGACGUUGAGGGACGAAGGCUUGGGUAGCAAUAAGGAUUAGAUACCCUAGUAGUCCAAGCAGAAAAUGAUGAAUGUCAUAAACUAGAUAAUUAAUUUAGUAUAUAAAUGAAAGUGUAAGCAUUCCACCUCAAGAGUAAUAUGGCAACAUAUAAACUGAAAUCAUUAGACCGUUUCUGAAACCAGUAGUGAAGUAUGUUAUUUAAUUCGAUAAUCCGCA
rnacentral:rRNA from 1 species